rnacentral:rRNA from 1 species
AGCUCCAAUAGCGUAUAUUAAAGUUGCUGCAGUUAAAAAGCUCGUAGUUGGAUCUCGGGGUACCUGGUCUAGCCGGUAUAGCUCACGCUAAAACUGGUCUGACCCCCCAACGUGAGGUAUUCGUCUCCGGGUGCACUUCAUUGGGUGCUCGUGAGGGGCCUCGUAGUUACUGUGAAAAAAUUAGAGUGUUCAAAGCAGGCUCAUAUGUUCGGAUAGUCGUGCAUGGAAUAACUGAAUACGUGACUGGCGCUUUUCAGUUGGUCUCGGCGACUGGUCAAAUGAUUAAGAGGGACUGCGAAAGCAUUUGCCAAGAAUGUCUUCA